GGGGCUGAUUCUGGAUUCGACGGGAUUUGCGAAACCCAAGGUGCAUGCCGAGGGGCUUUAGCAGCUUAAUAACCUGCUCUGAGCCCUCUCUCCCUAGCUUCCGCUCUUAAGACGGGGAUCAAAGAGAGGUCAAACCCAAAAGAGAUCGCGUGGAUGCCCUGCCUGGGGUUGAAGCGUUAAAUCUAAUCAGGCUAGUUUGUUAGUGGCGUGUCUGUCCGCAGCUGGCAAGCGAAUGUAAAGACUGACUAAGCAUGUAGUGCCGAGGAUGUAGGAAUUUCGGACGCGGGUUCAACUCCCGCCAGCUCCACCA
rnacentral:tmRNA from 1 species